GAACAUACUCCAGCUUGUCACUGUCCAGGGGAAGCUGGAGGGCCAGGAGCUGGCCACAGUCUGACCAAUGUGGAGAGGAAUGGCCAAUGUCCGAUGUCUUCAAGUCACGAUGGCUCAGCUGUGUCACAGGGCAAGCCUCCCAGGUAUGGAAAUAUCCCCAAGCUGUGCUUUUACCAGCUGCUGCUAAGGUGCCACUCCCUACCUGGCAACUGUCUCUGGAAGCUCCUCUGGAGGACUCUGCUGAAGGCCUCACUGCUGCAGGUUGGCUCUCAUUCCAAAUUGUGACUUUGACAAUCGGCAUGUGUUCUUCAUCUCUGCUCUGUCAGAACCCCAUUAAAGCCCUAUGAGAACCACU
rnacentral:lncRNA from 1 species